UGUUAUUCAGCCACUCACCUUCUGCAGUGGUCAGUACCUAUCAAAAGUGGUCCAAGGAAAGAAAAGCUGUGAACCGGUGACAAGGUCAUGGAUGGCCAAGGCUCAUUGACGCAUGUCGUCCGAUCCAACAGAAAAGCAGUCAGAUUGCUGAAGAAGGUUCUGGGUAAACAUGGUGAUGAUGAAGAUGAUGCAGAGACUUACAGCACCGUGAAAGUUCCUCUUCCUGGGGAACACGUGGCACCAGGAUACACUAUGGAAAGAGGUCAAGCCAGCGGAGGCAGUGUGAUGCUUUGACAUUUGACCCCAAGUUGCAACUUCUGACAUAUGUCAAAACAAUAAGUUGCUUUGGAUAUAAUCGUCAGCUAAAUGUAAUGUGAACAUUCUGUUAAAGAAUGUUUUAUGCAAAAAUGAGAUGAUCUCUAUCCUGAAAUAAAUUCAAUUCAGUUCAUUCCCUGAUGGCAGUGGCCUCUUUCAGCAGGAUAAUGUGUCCUGCCACAGAACAAAAACACAUGUCAUAUCCAUCCUGACCUGUGAACUGAAGCACCAUUACAAAUAAAGACAUUUUAAUCCAUCUGAACUCAA